UACGAAGGGGCUAGCGUUGCUCGGAAUCACUGGGCGUAAAGGGUGCGUAGGCGGGUCUUUAAGUCAGGGUGAAAUCCUGGAGCUCAACUCCAGAACUGCCUUUGAUACUGAGGAUCUUGAGUUCGGGAGAGGUGAGUGGAACUGCGAGUGUAGAGGUGAAAUUCGUAGAUAUUCGCAAGAACACCAGUGGCGAAGGCGGCUCACUGGCCCGAUACUGACGCUGAGGCACGAAAGCGUGGGGAGCAACAGG
rnacentral:rRNA from 1 species